rnacentral:rRNA from 1 species
GAUCCCAUGCCGAACUCAGAAGUGAAACGCCGUAGCGCCGAUGGUAGUGUGGGGUCUCCCCAUGUGAGAGUAGGGAACUGCCAAGC